CCCGAAAGAUCGAAUGAGGAGAUUCAUCGUCAGUGUAAUUGGCUAUCAUGUGGUUAUGCGAUGAAAGUUUGAAUUUAUUUGAAAUUCACGCUGCUGCUGUGAUUGUGUCAGUUACGUCGGCGUGCACUUCUCCUCUAGUAGAACGUCGCGACCCGCUGAGUGUUGAUUUAAGGACCGAGACUGUCGACUGUACCGUCGCUACGGCGUUAUGUGUGCAGACACUUGGAUUGCUAAUCAACUGCUCGGCGGUAUGUAUUAAUGGUAUCGAGCCGCACUUGAAUGCGUUCAGACUUAACACAAGCUUGAUCAAAUAACUGGAAUGCGGACCUAGUGCCGUAUCUGGAAGUGAUCAGCUGUUGGUUGAUAAUGUUCUCGAACUGGCUUAAUAUGCAAUUCAGCGAUAUCGGUCAGCGACGCUAUUGCUUUGGGUACUUUCAGGA
rnacentral:rRNA from 1 species